rnacentral:lncRNA from 1 species
UAUCUUUCAACAUACAAGUCCAAAAUUAAUAAAAUUUUCACCAUUGGAUCACAAAUCUUUUGUUCUAUCAUUUGAUAUCAUCAAAUCAGGGUUUUAGUAAAAUUAUCAUUUUGCCCUUGAGGAGCAAAAAAGGCUUUUUCAAGUGAGAAAUAUUAGUACCCCUUUAACUGCUUUGUAAUCAUCAAAAUCAAUCUAGGGAUCAACAUCACAUCCCUAGGAGGCCCACUUUGUCGUCCACUCUAGCAUUCCAAUGUCAUAUGGAUUCUUGCACCAAUAUAUUGGCAUUGGAGGAAGGGCUUUAUCCCAUUUAGAGGAGCGC